AAGUAUAGCCAUAGAGGGUGAUAGUCCCGUAUGCGAAAAACAAACCUUAGCUAGCAGUAUCCUGAGUAGGGCGGGACACGAGAAAUCCUGUCUGAAGCUGGGUCGACCACGAUCCAACCCUAAAUACUAAUACCAGAUCGAUAGUGCACAAGUACCGUGAGGGAAAGGUGAAAAGAACUGAGGUGAUCAGAGUGAAAUAGAACCUGAAACCAUUUGCUUACAAUCAUUCAGAGCCCUAUGUAGCAAUACAGGGUGAUGGACUGCCUUUUGCAUAAUGAGCCUGCGAGUUGUGGUGUCUGGCAAGGUUAAGCAAACGCGAAGCCGUAGCGAAAGCGAGUCUGAAUAGGGCGCUUAGUCAGAUGCUGCAGACCCGAAACGAAGUGAUCUAUCCAUGAGCAAGUUGAAGCUAGUGUAAGAACUAGUGGAGGACU
rnacentral:rRNA from 1 species